rnacentral:rRNA from 1 species
UACGUAGGGGGCUAGCGUUGUCCGGAAUCAUUGGGCGUAAAGCGCGUGUAGGCGGCCCGGUAAGUCCGCUGUGAAAGUCGGGGGCUCAACCCUCGAAUGCCGGUGGAUACUGUCGGGCUCGAGUGCGGGAGAGGCGAGUGGAAUUCCUGGUGUAGCGGUGAAAUGCGCAGAUAUCAGGAGGAACACCGAUGGGCGAAGGCAGCUCACUGGGACGGUGACUGACGCUGAGACGCGAAAGCGUGGGGAGCAAACAGG